rnacentral:misc_RNA from 1 species
GAAGGAACUUCUGGCUGAUGCGACAUUCUAACAAAUGGAUGUUCUAGCAACAUGCUAGCUGAUGGCCUCUCUGCUGGAUUUCUACGGAAACAACAAUGCAAAAAAUCUUUCCCUUCUAGUGAUAAUGUUUCAGGUAUUGGUGGGGUAUCUUUUAGAACCUUGAACAUCGCUGCAGCAGCUUCAUAUUCACUCCAAGGAGGUUUGCCAUUCAGCAUCUCAAUUAUAGUACAACCCAAACUCCAUAUAUCAAUAGCAAAGGCAAGAUCGCUACUAUUAUCUCUCUGCAUAACAGAGUGCAUAAGCUCAGGAGCCAUCCAAUAUGGACUUCCU